rnacentral:rRNA from 1 species
UACGAAGGGAGCGAGCGUUGUUCGGAAUCACUGGGCGUAAAGCGUGCGUAGGCGGUUUUGUAAGUAAGAAGUGAAAGCCUGGGGCUUAACCUCAGAAUUGCUUUUUAGACUGCAAAACUGGAGUACUGGAGAGGUUAGUGGAAUUCCGAGUGUAGAGGUGAAAUUCGCAGAUAUUCGGAGGAACACCAGUGGCGAAGGCGACUAACUGGACAGUAACUGACGCUGAGGCACGAAAGCGUGGGGAGCGAACAGG